UCAAAGGCUCUUUUCAGAGCCACCACAGCAUCUGAGAGAACAACAUU
rfam:Takifugu rubripes genomic scaffold, scaffold_6498